GAUGAAGAACGCAGCGAAAUGCGAUAAGUAAUGCGAAUUGCAGAAUUUCCGUGAGUCAUCGAAUCUUUGAACGCACAUUGCGCCCACUGGUAUUCCGGUGGGCAUGCCUGUUCGAGCGUCAUUUCAACCCUUAAGCCCUGUUGCUUAGCGUUGGGAGCCUACAGUACUGUAGCUCCCCAAAGUUAGUGGCGGAGUCGGUUUCACACUCUAGACGUAGUAAUUUUUUCUCGUCUGUAGUUGAGCCGGUCCCCUGCCGUAAAACACCCAAUUUAUCAAGGUUGACCUCGGAUCAGGUAGGAAUACCCGCUGAACUUAAGCAUAUCAAUAAGCGGAGGA
rnacentral:misc_RNA from 1 species